AAGAACUAACAAGGAUUCCCCUAGUAACUGCGAGUGAAGCGGGAAAAGCUCAAAUUUAAAAUCUGGCAGUCUUCGAUUGUCCGAGUUGUAAUCUAGAGAAGCAUUAUCCGCGCUGGACCGUGUACAAGUCUCCUGGAAUGGAGCGUCAUAGAGGGUGAGAAUCCCGUCUUUGACACGGACUGCCAGGGCUUUGUGAUGUGCUCUCAAAGAGUCGAGUUGUUUGGGAAUGCAGCUCAAAAUGGGUGGUAAAUUCCAUCUAAAGCUAAAUAUUGGCGAGAGACCGAUAGCGAACAAGUACCGUGAGGGAAAGAUGAAAAGAACUUUGGAAAGAGAGUUAAACAGUACGUGAAAUUGCUGAAAGGGAAACGCUUGAAGUCAGUCGCGUUGUCCGGGAAUCAACCUUGCUUUUGCUGGGCGUACUUCCUGGUCAACGGGUCAGCAUCAAUUUUGACCGUUGGAAAAAGUGGCUGGGAAUGUGGCAUCUUCGGAUGUGUUAUAGCCCAGUUUCGUAUACAACGGUUGGGAUUGAGGAACUCAGCACGCCGCAAGGCCGGGUUUUUAACCACGUUCGUGCUUAGGAUGCUGGCAUAAUGGCUUUAAUCGACCCGUCUUGAAACACGGACCAAGGAGUCUAACAUGCCUGCGAGUGUUUGGGUGGAAAACCCGAGCGCGUAAUGAAAGUGAAAGUUGAGAUCCCUGUCGUGGGGAGCAUCGACGCCCGGACUUGAACUUCUGUGACGGAUCCGCGGUAGAGCAUGUAUGUUGGGACCCGAAAGAUGGUGAACUAUGCCUGAAUAGGGUGAAGCCAGAGGAAACUCUGGUGGAGGCUCGUAGCGAUUCUGACGUGCAAAUCGAUCGUCAAAUUUGGGUAUAGGGGCGAAAGACUAAUCGAACCAUCUAGUAGCUGGUUCCUGCGAGUUUCCCCCCCGAAAAAAAAA
rnacentral:rRNA from 1 species